UUUUCUGCUUAGAGAAGUUCUUUUAGUAGCUGAUGUAGAGCUGGUUUGGAGGUGCUGAAUUCUCUUAGCUUUUGCUUGUCCAAGAAGCUUUUGAUCUCUCCAUAAAAUCUGAAUAAGAGCCUUGCUGGGUAGAGUAUUCUUGGUUCUAGGUUCCUUCUCUCAUCACCUCAAGUAUAUCCUGCCACUCCUUUAAUGCUUGUAGAGUUUCUGCUGAAAAAUAAGCUGUUAUCUUUAUGGGGGUUCCCCUGUAUGUUGAUCUUCCCUUGUGGCUUUUAAUAUUUUUUCUUUGUAUUUAAUUUUUGUCAGUUUGAGUGGUAUGUGUCUUGCUGUGUUUUUCCUUGGGUUUAUUUUGUAUGGAAUUCUCUGUGCUUCUUCAACUUGAGUGUUUCCUUUCCCAUAUUAGGGAAAUUUUCAGCUAUAAUCUCUUCAAAUACUUUCUCUGCUCCACCUUCUCCUUCUGGAACCCCUAUGAUACAAAUGAUGGUACAUUUAAUGUUGACCCAGAGGUCUCUUAGACUUUCCUCAGUUCUUAUCAUUUUCCUUUAUUCUUUCCUGUGGCAGUGAUUUCCACCACUCUGUCUUCCACCUAACUUAUUUGUUCCUCUGCCUCUGUUAACCUGCUAUUGGUUCCUUCUAGAUUAUUUUUUAUUUCAGAUAUUGUGCUAUUCAUUUUGCUCUUUAAAUCCUCUCUUUGUUAAACGUUUAAGUUCUUGCUCUGUGUAUCAACUGUUUUCCAAGGUCAUGGAUCAUCUUUACUAUCACCACUCUGGAUUCUUUUUCAGGUAGAUUCCCUACCUCCCCUUCAUUUACUGGUUUUUGUGUGCUUUUGUCUUAUUCCUUUGUCUGAAAGCUACUUCUCUGUCAUCUCAUACUGUCUACCUUUCUGUUUAUCGUACCCUUGAGAGUAGGUAUGUACAUGGAGCAGCAGGUGCCCAGUCCUGGAGUUCUCAGGGGUGGUGGUGGUUCACAAGUACCCAGAGCACGUGAUGGAAGAAGCAGCUGUAUCACACUCCCUCUCCUGGAGCUGGGUGGUUUCUAGGGUUGAGGUCUGUGAGUUAGGUAGCAGUGACUCACAGUUCACAGGAUUGCUUCUGUAGCACAAGGGGGGAAGCAGUGUCUCUUGCAACCAGGUAGUUUCAGGACUAUUUUCCAUAACUUGCAAUGUCAGUGGUUGCUCCUAUAGUCCCUCCCUUUACUGCGGAGGCUGUAGUGACCGCUCUCUGUAGCUGUAGGGGUAGGCUCCAUGGUUCUGCCAUCACUCUCCUUGCUUGUCCACUCUAGGGAUCUCUCUCUAUAGCCCCCCCACCCGGGGGAGUUCUUUCUAUUGGAAAAAGUCUCUUUAGCUGCAAGACAUUUACUUCUGGCAGUCCCUCCUCCUGCCUGGUUGCUAGUAGGCAUGCUCUCUGUAGCCAGUGUGGUUUGGAGUUUGAACUUAUGGGCCUCCCAUGGCUCCCUUGGUGUGUAAUGAGUGGCACUGGUUGUGGGCCCUUGCAAGCCCACUGGAAUGGGCCAUUACUUCAGCCCUUUCUUGGCCCAUUUUUUUUAUUGGGAUUUUUUGUUGUUGUUACUGAGUUAUAUGAGUUGUUCAUAUAUCUUGGAGAUUAGACCCUUGUUGAUUGCAUUGUCCAAAAGAAUCUUCUUCUAUUCUGUGGAUUGUCUUGUCAUUUUUUAAAAUGGUUUCUUUUGCUGUACAAAAGCUUUUAAGUUUAAUUAGGUCCUACUGGUUUAUUUUUGUGUUUCUUGUCAUUACUCUAGGAGGUGGACUAAACAAGAUGCUGCUGCAUUUAUAUCAAAGAGCAUUCUGCCUGUGUUUUCCUCUAGGAGUUUUAUAGUAUCUGGCCUUACAUUUAGGUUUUUGAUCCAUUUGUGGUUUAGUUUUGUGUAUUGUGUUAGAAAAUGAUCUGAUUACAUUCUUCUACAUAUAUAGCUGUCUAGUUUUCCCAGCACCACUUACUGAAGAGGCUAUCUUUUCUCCACUGUAUGUUCUUGCUUACUCUGUCAAAGAUUAGUUGACCAUAGGUGCUUAAGUUUAUUUCUGGGCUUUCUAUCCCAUUCCACUGAUUUAUAGUUCUGUUUUUGUGUCAGUCACAUCUUGUUUUGAUGACCACUGCUUUGUAGAAUAGUCUGAGGUCAAGGAGCCUAGUUCCUCCAGUUCUGUUUUUCUCUUUCAAGACUGCUUUUGCAGAGUUCCUGUUGUGGCACAGCAGAAAUGAAUUCAACUAGUAUCCAUAAGGAUGUGGGUUCUAUCCUUGGCCUUACUCAGUAGGUUAAGGAUCCAUUGUUGCCCUAAGCUGUGGUGUAGGUCCCAGAUGCAGCUUGGAUCCUGCACUGCUGUGGCAUAGGCUGGCAGCUGUAGUUCCAAUUCGACCCCUAGCCUGGGACCUUCCAUAUGCCAUGAGUGCAGCCCUAAAAACGGAGAGAUUUCUUUGGCCAUUCAUGGUCUUUUCAUUUCCAUGCAAAUUUAAUUUUUUUUGUUCUAGUUUUGUGAAAAAAAAAAGUCAUUUGUAAUUUGAUAGGGAUUGGGGAUUCCACUGAAUCCGUAGAUUGCUUUGGGUAGUACAGUCAUUUUAACAACAUUGAUUCUUCCAGUCCAAGAGCAUGUUCUAUCUUUCCAUCUGUUUGUGUCAUCACUUGAUUUCUUUCAUCAGCAUCUUAUAGUUUUCAGAGUACAAGUGUUUUGCCUCUUCAGGUAGAUUUAUUCCUAGGUGUUGAAUUCUUUUUGAUAGCACUGUAAAUGGAACUGUUUUCCUAAUUUCUCUUUCUGACUUUUCAUUGUUACUUUAUAGGAAUGCAACAGAUAUCUGUGUAUUAAUUUUGACUCCUGCAACUUUACCAAAUUCAUUGAUGAACUCUAAUAGUUUUCUGGUAGCACCUUAAGGAUUUUCUAUGUAUAGUAUCAUACCAUAUGCAAACAGUGACAGUUUUACUUCUGUCCCUUGUUGGUUGCAUUGUUUGCACUAUCUUCUCCCAUCCUAUGGGUUAUCUUUUUGGUUUUUUUUUUAUGGUUUCCAUUGCUGUGCAAAAGCCUGUACUUUUGAUUAGGUCCCACUGGUUUAUUAUUUUUAUUUCUAUUGUCUUGGGAGACUGAACUAAGAAAGUGUUUGUAUGGUUUAUGUCACAUGGUUUGUAUAGAAUGUUUCCCUAUUUCUUUUCUAGGAGUUUUAUGGUGUCAUGUCUUAUGUUUGAGUUUAUUGCUGUGCAUGGUGUGAGGGUGUAUUCUAGUUUCACUGAUUUACAUGCAGCUGUCCGGUUUUGCCAGCAUCACUUCCUAAAGAGACUGUCCUUUUCCGAUUUUAUAUUCUUGCCUUCCUUGUCAAAGAUCAAUUGAUCCUAUGUGUCUGGGUUUAUUUCUGGGCUCUCUAUUCUGUUCCAUUCAUCCCUAUGUCUGUUUUUGUGCCAGUACCACACUCUCUUGAUUACCAUAGCAUUGUAAUAUUGUGUGAAGUCUGGGAAAGUUAUGCCUCCUGCUUUGUUGCUGCUGUUUUUUUCCUGCGGAUUGCUUUGGCAAUUCUGGGCCUUUAUGGUUCCAUAUAAAUUUUUGGAUUAUUCGUUCUGGCUUGCUAAAAAAAAUGUCAUGGGUAAUUUAAUAGUGACCACAUUAAAUCUAUAGAUUGCUUUGGGUAGAAUGGCAAUUUUUAAAUAAUAUUAAUUCUUCCAAUCCAGGAACAUGGGAUAUUUCCAUUUCUUUGAAUCCUCUUUAAUUUCCUUGAUUGAUGUUUUGCAGUUUUCAGUGUAUAAGUCUUUCCCUUCCUUGGUUUAUUCCUAGGUAUUUUAUUUUGGGGGGUGUGUUUUUAAAAGGUUUUGUUUCUCUAUAUUUCUUUUCUAAUAUUUCAUUGUUAGCAUACAGAAACACAACUGAUUUCUGAAUGUUAAUCUUGUAUCCUGCUACUUUGAAUUCUUUGAUCUGAUUAAGUAGUUAUUGCAUGGAGUCCUUAGGGUUUUCUAUAUAUAGUAUCAUGCCAUCUGCAUAUAGUGACAAUUUUACCUCUUCUCUU
rnacentral:lncRNA from 1 species